rnacentral:rRNA from 1 species
AAUAUUGGACAAUGGGGGCAACCCUGAUCCAGCCAUGCCGCGUGUGUGAAGAAGGUCCUCGGAUUGUAAAGCACUUUAAGUUGGGAGGAAGGGCUUUAGGCGAAUACCCUGAAGUUUUGACGUUACCAACAGAAUCAGCACCGACUACCUCUGUGCUAGCAGCCGCGGUAAAACAGAGGGUGCAAGCGUUAAUCGGAAUUACUGGGAGUAAAGCGCGCGUAGGUGGUUAAGUAAGAUAGGUGUGAAAUCCCCGGGAUUAACCUGGGAACUGCUUUCAUAACUGCUGAGCUAAAGUAAGGUAGAGGGUAGUGGAAUUUCCUGUGUAGCGGUGAAAUGCGUAGAUAUAGGAAGGAACACCAGUGGCGAAGGCGACUACCUGGACUGAUACUGACACUGAGGUGCGAAAGCGUGGGGAGCAAAC